GCAAAACGCGAAGAACCUUACCCGGGUUUGAACGUAGGGAGACAGGGGUGGAAACAUCCUUUUCAGCAAUGACUGCCUACGAGGUGCUGCAUGGUUGUCGUCAGCUCGUGCCGUGAGGUGUCGGCUUAAGUGCCAUAACGAGCGCAACCCUUAUUUCCAGUUACUAACAGGUGAUGCUGAGGACUCUGGAGAGACUGCCAGCGUAAGCUGUGAGGAAGGUGGGGAUGACGUCAAAUCAGCACGGCCCUUACAUCCGGGGCGACACACGUGUUACAAUGGUAAGGACAAAGGGCAGCUACCGGGCGACCGGAUGCGAAUCUCUAAACCUUAUCUCAGUUCGGAUCGGAGUCUGCAACUCGACUCCGUGAAGCUGGAUUCGCUAGUAAUCGCGCAUCAGCCAUGGCGCGGUGAAUACGUUCCCGGGUCUUGUACACACCG
rnacentral:rRNA from 1 species